AGUGCCAAUAAAGCACUACUAGGGAUUAGUAGACCUGAGGCUGGAGGUAUUGCUAAAGCCCAUCUGCCAAGUCUAGGAUGGCUUUUAUCUUCUUCUGAAGCAUGGGAUACGAGUUCCUGUCAGAAAUUGAAUUGAUGGACUGGAGCACAGUUGUUUCUCUUUUACUAUUCUGACAUGAAGAAAAUAACUGCAGAUAUUUAUAUGAUCGAAAAAAUGCACACUUAUGAUCUUGGAAAAUUUCUUUUUAAAUGAACUAAAGAGAGCUUGUCUUUGGAACCCAAGCACUAAAGUAGAGAGAAGAUGGACAACAUGCCACAAACAACCAAAGAAAUUGUUUUCCUGAACGGGAAUAGAGCAAUUGCUGAUAUGCUCUGCAGCACUCACCAAGGUUUGAUGUGGAAGGAGGCUCAGAAUCCAAUUAACUGAAAUUACUGGGAUAUUCAUGAAGAGCUGCUUCUCCUGCCAUAGCCUCACUGAUAGAUAAUUCAGUAUUUGAGAAAUCCUCCUGCUUGUGGAUAUGUCUUUGCUUUUAAACAACAGAAGAGAUUCUCGGCCAGCAGCAUUCCAUAUGAGUAGUACUUAAUACAUGGCCAAGGGAAAAAGAAAAGCCACUUCUAGCCAUGGCUGUGCCUACAUUCUGUUAAUAUGCAUAAGAGCCAUGGCUUUGUUUCUACAGAAAGCAGACCUUUUGCCUAAAUGAAUAAACAUGCCAACAGCACGUCCUCUCAGGCUGCAAAAGUCCUGCUUCCACAGAAAUGGAUAAAAACAUCUCCAAAGGAUAGAUAUUCUCUUUCUUAGAGUGCAACAAAAGUACUGAGCUUAUUAGCAUUAGCUCACUUCUUGAGUUACUGCUUUCCAUUAGAGUUGUUGGGACUUUGAAAGCUGCUUAAGGAUUGCUGAGCUGAAAUGGAGGAAAUGUGCUGAAUAUUACUUGCAAAGCAGUCUUCAAAUUAAAUUACCCAAAUUG
rnacentral:lncRNA from 7 species